rnacentral:snoRNA from 1 species
AAGAUCAUACUUCAUAGGAUCAUUUCUAUAGUAUGAUUAGCGGGUUCACUCAGCGAAGUUCGCAAAAAUCCCAUUCUUCUUUGAGGAACCAUGUCCCAUAUCUCGCAGA